ACGGGGGGGGCAAGCGUUGUUCGGAAUUACUGGGCGUAAAGGGCUCGUAGGCGGCCAACUAAGUCGGACGUGAAAUCCCCAGGCUCAACCUGGGAACUGCGUCCGAUACUGGAUGGCUUGAAUUCGGGAGAGGGAUGCAGAAUUCCAGGUGUAGCGGUGAAAUGCGUAGAUAUCAGGAAGAACGCCGGUGGCGAAAGCGCUCUGCUAGGCCGCAACUGACACUGAGGGACGAAAGCUAGGGGAGCGAAUGGGA
rnacentral:rRNA from 1 species